rnacentral:rRNA from 1 species
AGUGAACGCUGGCGGUAGGCCUAACACAUGCAAGUCGAACGGCAGCACAGUAAGAGCUUGCUCUUACGGGUGGCGAGUGGCGGACGGGUGAGGAAUACAUCAGAAUCUACUUUUUCGUGGGGGAUAACGUAGGGCAACUUACGCUAAUACCGCAUACGACCUACGGGUGAAAGCAGUAGAUCUUCGGACCUUGCGCGAUUGAAUGAGCUGAUGUCGGAUUAGCUAGGUGGCGGGGUAAAGGCCCACCAAGGCAACGAUCCGUAGCUGGCCUGAGAGGACGAUAGGCCCAACCGGAACUGGGACACGGUCCCGACUCCCACGGGAGGCAGCAGGAGGGAAAUUUUGGAAAAGGGCGAAAGCCUGACGCAGCACCGCCGCGGGGGGGAAGAAGGGCUUCGGGUUGUAAAACCCUUUUUUUAGGGAAAAAAAAACGGGUAGGUAACUACCCACUUUUUGACGGUACCCAAAAAGAAAGCCACGGCUAACUUCGUG